rnacentral:rRNA from 1 species
CCUACGGGCGGCAGCAGUGGGGAAUAUUGGGCAAUGGGCGCAAGCCUGACCCAGCAACGCCGCGUGAAGGAAGAAGGCUUUCGGGUUGUAAACUUCUUUUCUGGGGGACGAACAAAUGACGGUACCCCAGGAAUAAGCCACGGCUACCUACGUGCCAGCAGCCGCGGUAAUAGGUAGGUGGCAAGCGUUAUCCGGAUUUAUUGGGUGUAAAGGGCGGGUAGGCGGGAAUGCAAGUCAGAUGGUAAAACUCAGGGCUCAACCCCGAGCCUGCAUUUGAAACUAUGUUUCUUGAGUGCUGGAGAGGCAAUCGGAAUUCCGGGUGUAGCGGUGAAAUGCGUAGAUAUACGGAGGAACACCAGUGGCGAAGGCGGAUUGCUGGACAGUAACUGACGCUGAGGCGCGAAAGCGUGGGGAGCAAACAGGAUUAGAUACCCCUGUAGUC